rnacentral:rRNA from 1 species
UACGUAGGGUGCAAGCGUUGUCCGGAAUUAUUGGGCGUAAAGAGCUCGUAGGCGGUUUGUCGCGUCGAAUGUGAAAACCCGGGGCUCAACCCCGGGCCUGCAUUCGAUACGGGCAGACUAGAGUUCGGUAGGGGAGUCUGGAAUUCCUGGUGUAGCGGUGAAAUGCGCAGAUAUCAGGAGGAACACCGGUGGCGAAGGCGGAUCUCUGGGCCUGUACUGACGCUGAGGAACGAAAGCGUGGGGAGCGAACAGG